CCUACCCUACCACAUUUCUACCACUGUGGCCGAGCUGCGGUCUCUGAUUUCACCACCAACCGCAGCGAGGCGAGCCGCGGAGGCGCAAGCUCCGGCUCCAGCCUCCAGCACGCGGCGGUGCCUCUUCUUUCUGUCUUCCAGCCCGGCAGGAGAAGCUCUCGCUGCUAGCCUCCCUCCUACCGCUCCGUCACCACCACCACCAACAGGGAGGGAGUGCCCCAGGCUCCAGGCUCCAAGCUCCAGGCUCCAGGGGGCGAAAAGUGACGGAGCCUUCCAGUUCUUUAAGCCGGGUACGUAGUAGCUCCCCACACCCACACAUAAGUGCCAGAAAUGACGCGCCGCUGCCUCAGCAUGCUUUAUAUACUGAGGUUAGGAGACCCUGGACUACAUGUUCUGAUUGGAUGAGAGAAAAACCUCUAGGCCUACUCUGAUUGGACUUUAUUUUCAUGCUGUGAUUGGUUGUCUUAAGACUUGCUCUCAUCCAAUCAGAACAUGCAGUCUAGGAACCGGCAUGCGCAUAACCUCAGGAUAUAAAUAAUGCUGAAGCAGAGUUACGUUUUUUUUGUUGUUGUUUUUUUUGUUUUUGUUUUUUUAGGUUUCCGUGUGUUUCUAUUGAGCUGCUCAGUGCCCGGCUUAGAAGACCAGGAAAAGGAGUCACAGGUCGUAUGCUGGAGGCUUGAGCCGCGGCACCGUGGCGCGGCUCGCCUCGCUGCGGUUGGUGGUGGCGGUGGACAUUGCAGCGCGGCUGGAGGGGUAGGAAGAAGAAGAUAGUUUUGGGAUAGAUAGAGGUGAGAUAUUCCUGCACAUCCUCUGGUGACCCCAGAAUGAGGGGGACUCGCUGGUGAAUUGCCUCGGGCUUCACGUCCAGUACAGGCUGGGUCCCCGUGGUCGCCAAGCCUCCUGCCUGCUCAAUGAUGUAGGCCACGGGAUUGCAUUCAUACAGGAGCCGGAGCUGUGGAGGAACAGAGGCAGGACAAAUUCACCAAGAGCCUAGCAACAUGAAGAGAGAUGCCAGGAAGAAGAGAGAAGCCAGGAAACAAGCCAACCGCACAAUCCCCACAUCAGAGCAGGAGAAGAUGGGGGCCUGCUGGCAGAGCUGGGGCUUGGCUGUGGUCACUCUGAACCUGCUCUUUGGUGUUUUCAUGAGUGGUGGGAAGAAUAGGGACCAUAUGGAGCCCACACAGGAAGCUCUAGCAGUAACACAGCAAGCAGGAAGACAAUUCUAAGGAAGCAGCCCAUAGUCUUCUUUCUUUUCCUGUGCAUCUUCCACUGUCAGUGAGGCUCCUCAUUUAUGGUGAACCCAACUGUGUGUAUCUCCCAAGUUCUCACCCGCAGAUUAAUGUUUUCAGGAAGAUAGGCCAUCAACAGUGAGAGGAAGAAGUUACAUUGUCGUAUGAGGGAUGCAUUUUAACCAUUAAUUUGUGGUACAGGCUGGGCGCAGUGGCUUAUGCAUGUAAUCCCAGCACUUUGGGAGGCCGAGGUGGGUGGAUCACGAGGUCAGGAGAUCGAGACCAUCCUGGCUAACAUGGUGAAACCCCGUCUUUACUAAAUAUACAAAAAAUUGGCCGGGCGUGGUGGUGGGCACCUGUAGUCCCAGCUACUCGGGGGGCUGAGGCAGGAGAAUGGUGUGAACCCGGGAGGCAGAGCUUGCAGUGAGCCGAGAUCGCGCCACUGCACUCCAGCCUGGAUGACAGAGCAAGACUCCAUCUCAAAAAAAAAAAAAAUGUGUGGUACAGUUAUUUUGUUUAUGUUAGUGAUUCAAUCAUAGAAACUAUUCAGUUUCUGGUAUCCCACUCUUACCUGGAGAAAAGAGGAAGCCGCUUUCAUCAGACACUGUGUUCACCCAGCGUAAGGAAAAAGUUGGUAAAAUCUAAAGGAAUCCUCAGACAUAUUAAUAAAAGUGUGCCCAGUCCCUCUCCACAACCCAUGUAGCCACUGUGGUCAGUACCUGCAGGGCAUCUCUCAAAUACCCCUAUGUCUAGUUCUGGUGAUAUCAGUCACUAAAAAUGGGAUCAGCUUGUGGCAGAUACCACCUUAAAUGCUCAUGUCUGUCUCAGUCACUAGGAGGAAAACCAGAGCCUGGAAACCAGAUCCAUUUUGAUGAAUGUCCAAGAUUUUGAGAGUGAAAAACUCCAAAAUGACAGCUCACAGUUGGCAGCUAGGCCAGAAGGUUCCCAAGGAACAUCAGAGGUAUUCCCGGAAUAUAAAGAGGCAAGGCCACAGAAUGACUCCACAUAGCAGAGGUGUUGCUACGAGAGGUGACACUGUCCCUGUCAGAAACAAGUCAGUGCCAAGGAGACUCAAUAACAAAAACAACUAAACAAUCCUUUCCUGCCUAACAUGAGUGACAACUGCUUCUAUAUCAGUGACUUCAAUCUCUCUGCCUCCUAGAUAAAAAUGAUUAAGGUAACUAGUCAUUAAUUGCACCCACUUCCAGACAAUAUCCAAUCCAGACUGACCCUCUCUUCCUCAAAUCCUCUUUAGAAUUACCAAGCAAAACCCCAAGUCCUAUAAGCCCAUCUCAACUCCCUCCUUAUGCAACACCCCAUGGUUCCUCUGCAGUGCCUGCUAAAUCUAACUUCGGGUUAUUACAGGUGCACGAGUGAUGGUCUUUGACUCAUGACCUUUAACUUGCUGUGGGUGUCUGUUGCUUUGGAGCAGCCCAGCGCUGAUUUCUACUUCUGAAAAGUGCCCUGACUUGCUUUGAAUUGGAUGCCAGUCUAGGAAGACUCAUAUCUGGGCCUCUUGUAGGCCAAGGUCAGGCAUGUACCUUAGCUUGAAAAUGAGAUACGCCUCCCUAGGAUUUGAAACCUGAGUGAGAGGCGCAGCACUGGGGGUGGUGUCCAGGCCAGACCGGCCAUGUUGCGAGACCACUGCCGUGCUUCCUGCUUCCUGGUCCUCUAGUCCUGCCCGUUCCUAGCCAGGGUCCUCAGCUUUCCCAUCAAUGCAGUAACUCCUUUCACUUAAUUGAGCCGGGGUCAAUUUUGCUGUUGCUUUCCAGCAAAGAGGAUGGAGAUGCACAACUGUCAUCUGAACAGUGGCACUCACUCACCACCUGAACAGAGGCGCUCAUUCUGCAUCAGGGCGGGUGAAAACGCCUUACGUUGAUCCACUCCUGGGGCUGGGGCCGGGACACUCAGGCCCUGGGAAUAUUGUUUCCACAGUUUUAUUAACCUGGAAAAUGUGUUCCUUUGUUCUGAUUGUGUGGUCACCAACAACGGCUGAUUUUUAAUAUGGGCUCUCAUACACCCUGUUACCGAUUAUCAGACACCAGAUCCUGGUCACAAGAAACAACAGCUCCCAUUUGUAAAUGAAUGCCUUGACAUUGAGCUUUACCCACAAUGGAGAGUUGGUUAACAGGAGGUGGUCUCUCUGUGCCUGAACAAUAUGUGUGUUCUGACAAAAUCAAAUCACCAGCCCUGCAAUCCCACAGACCUCACAGGCUCAGUUUGACCCACCAGGGAAUGCUGCCUCCAUAAGCUACUGGCCGCCUUCCAUGGCAUUUCUAUCUGUGACAACUGCCACAAGCUACCUCCGCUGGAUGUCAAACAGGCACUAAGCUUUGUGCACUGGGUCUUUGCUCAAAUGUCCUUUUUAGUAGGGAGAUGUGAUCCAAAGGGGUUUCAGGCUAAUACAUAGAGAUCCGGAAAGAUGCUAUGGUUCAUCUCUUCCUUCUGUCAUGUUGACAAGCUCUGGUGCCCACCUAUGUCCAGACUGGGCCCUGCUUUCAUGACUGAGGGCAGAAAACAGAGGCUCUGUCUGUGCCUGGGAAUCUUUGAAUUGGGUCCCUGAGUCAAAGCAUCUCCCAUCACCUUUAGAACUGCUCAGAAUGUUCAUGGAGAUAUUUUGCUUGUACUCAAGAGCAGUUGUGUUGGAAAUUUAGUGUGGUAGAGUAAUUAAAGCACAGACUGCUGGAGCAUGACUCCUGACACCAGUCACUAGCUUGACCUUGCGCAAGUUACUCACUCUCUCUACGCCUCACUUUCCCCAUCUGAAAAUGGGAAUAAUUGUAGGACAUAUCUCAUAGGGCCACUGUGACAUUUAAAUGCAUUAAUAGAUGUAAAUUUCAUAGGACAGGUACUUUACAUUCCUACCACUUACGAAGAAUUAUCUAACUCUUAGCUGUUAUUCUACAACAACUUUAGAAAGGGUGUUUUAUUGUCUGAGGGUAAUAUUUGCAAGCCAUAGAAUUUCUCAGGGUUUGCCAGCUUCUUUGAACAUAAAGGGAAAUUGGGGCAUUAGCAAACUGACACAGCAAUGGGUCUUGGUCUAAUGGGCAUACAGGUGAAAAGAUUCUAUUUGAAAAGUUUCUGGGUUUCCAUACUGUAAACUCUGUUUUGUAAGUUAACUCCAUGUCAUUUUGAAAUUUUGCAAACCCCUCUCUCCACACAUGUGCACUAACACGUGAACUCCACAAGGGCUGUCAUGUGUGUUUGAUCAAUGCUCCAUCUCCGCUGUCUGGAGUGGUGCUUUGGGACACAGUAGAUGCUCAAUAAACAGCUGUAAAUCAAAAACUUAAAUACUUAACCUUUUGGUCUAAGUGAACAAGAGGUUUUGACGUGUUCUUUGGUGGAUAUUAUCUGAGUUUUCACAAGACCUCAGUAUACUUGGCAAAGCAUUUCACAAUUGAUGGGCAAGCCAUCCAGCAUUUAAAAGUGAAAUUCAUGGAGCAUUCUACUGGAUGGUGCUGCUCUAACGAACCCAUGCUUCUGCUGGAAAUUUGCAGCAUUGUGAUUCUUAAAUCAUGGCAUUCUCAUAAGCCAAAGAGAUUGAGUGCAUUUUUGGAAAAUGAGCUCCUUAAGGAGAGGGCCUGAGUUGAUGCAACUGGCUCUGCAGGACACUCCUCCCCCCGAGUGCCCUCACUGGGACAGAGGCCCUUCAUGGUUUCUGAUGAUGGUUUUGGCUCCCCAAACUAGGCUCUCAGGACCCCUGGUCCCCAAAACAAGUAUUAGGAAUAACCAGGACAUUAUCGCAGAGAACUGGCAUUAAGGCACAGAGGCCCAUGGAGUCCCCAGGCACAGAUGAUGCCAUAUUCUGUACCUACCGGGUCAAGCAUGAAGAGGUCCACGCCUUGCCCUGUGGAGAGAGCCACCAGGGUUGCACUACCGUACAGCGCAUAACCUGCGGCCACAAUAUUGCGGCCACACUGCAGGGCAUCCUUUUCAGAAGGCUCAUCCUCUGAGGUCUGUGGAAGAGAGGGAUAAAUGCCAUGUGUUAUUGUUGUCUCUGGAGAGAACACUUUGCCAGGGGCCUGGGCUUCAGAUCUCCUCGAAUCACUGAAGGAAGCGCGGUUCUUUGAAUUUUAAGCUGCUGCAAAUCCAUCCAGAGGAAACGAGUGGCCAUGUUGCCAACAGUUCUAGCUGAGCCAUGGCAAAGGCCAUUCUUGGACUUCUUCCUUCCUGUUUUCCAAACGCAUGUGUCUGUAGCCUGACAAGAAAAGCACUCCCAGAUGCUAAAACCGUAGCCCCUCUUCAUCAUAAGCCAUGUUCCCAAGCCACGAUACUCACAACUCAGAUCACUGAGCUGAGCGUGCAGUGUCUCACUCUGCACACUCAACAGCCCUUUGGGGCAGAUAGCACCAUCACCUCCAUGGCUCAGAGGGAGAACUCUGAGAGCAAAACCACCUAAGAUUAACAACCUACUGCAGCUGGAGCGGCUGCACAACUCGCCCAGCAGCAGGAAGCCCUGAUUCUGCCUUUCUCUCUGACUCUGUGGAUGCUCCUUCUCACUUGCCUCUCUUCCCGGCAGCACCUCUUCCUCUGAUUCCUUAAAUGUUGGUGCUCCUUCUGGUCCUUCUGUGGCCCUUGGUACAUCCAACCGGUGCAAAAUGAUUCUUCCUCACCCCCUUAUCCAAAAUGGGGACUCUUAGCUGCUACAUUUGUAUUGAGUUACCCCGUCUCCCACGACACACACACACGCACACUUAUUUGAUGGGGUCAAGGAUAGAUUCAUAGAUUAGUGAUUCAAACUGGCCCAAUGUGAGUCUCUCCUCCAGAAACCUAGAACUGGAGUACAGCAUUGUUGUGAUGUACGUAGAAGCUUUGUAAACCCGAAUGUUCUUGCCUCCAUGUUCUGACCUCAUGGUCUGGUCUUCCAGCGCUUGACGCCAUGAGCACUCAGAGCUGCUUCUCUGAAGCUCCCAACACAUUUUCAUUCACGGGCUUAGUGUCUGACUUCCCAGCUAGACUGUGAGCAACUUGGUGGCAAGUACCAACUCCGUCUUGUUCCUGUCUGUUUACCCAUCACCUAGCACAAUCCAGUCCACAGAUAUUGCAUUUAAUUCACACACACACACAACACACACAUGAGUUUACACACACACAUAUAUACAUGCAUACAUGCAGUGAUUUUCAGCAUAAGAAUCCUAUACACAUUUUUUGGAUUUAUACUGUUCCAUUUUUUGUGUGAUUGUAAAUAGCACAUAUUUUAAAAUGUAAUUAUAAUUACGAAUUAGUUUAUUGCUAAUAUAUAGAAAUCUAGUUGAUUUUGUAUCUUGAUCUUGUAUCCUGUGACCUUGCUAAACUCACUAGUUCUAGAAGUGUUUUGGUUUUCUGUUUGUAGGUUCCUUGGGAUUUUCUACAUAGACCAUCAUGUCGUCUGCAAGAACAGUGUUAUUACCUGCUUUCCAAUCUGUAUGUGUUUCAUCAUCUUCCUUGCCUUAUUGUGCUGGCUACAACUUUCAGGAUUACAUAUGUUGGGUAACAGUGGCGAGUGAGGACAUCCUUGCUUUGUUACUGAUCUUAGAGUAUAAGCAUUCAGUCUUUCACCAUUAAAUGUAAUGCUAGCUGUAGAUGUACUUGAUAGAGUUAAGGGACGCUCCUCCUCUAUUUCUUGUUUUCUAAGACUUUCUGUUUUUUCAGAGACAGGGUCUUGCUCUGUUGCCCAGGGUGGAGUGCAGUGGCUUGGUCAUGGCUCACUGCAGCCUCCAACUCCUGGGCUUAAGUCAUCCUCCCAUCUCAACUUCUUGAGUAGCUGGGACUACGGGUAUGCACUACCACCCCCCUCUCCAGCUAAUGUCUUUUUUGAGAUGGGGGUCUUGCUAUGUUGCCCAGGCUGGUCUCAAACUCCUGGCCUCAAGCAAUCCUCCUACCUCAGCAAGUUUCUUUUUUAAAUAAUGAAUGAGUGUUGAAUUUGUUCAAAUGUUUUUUCUCCAUCAAUAGAUACGAUUAUGUGAUUUUUCUUCUUUAGCCUGUUGAUAUGGUGGAUUACACUGACUGAUUAUGAAUACUGGAUCAGUCUUCCAUCACCAGAAUAAACCCCACUCAGCCAUGGUGUAUAAUUUAUUUUAUGUAUUGUUGAAUUCUAUUUGCCAAUAUUUUGUUAAGAGUUUUUGCAUUUAUUGAUAAGGAAUAUUGGUCUGUGGUAUUUUUUUGAACAAUCUUUGUCUGGUUUUUGUAUCAGGAUAACACUGGUUUCAUAAAAUGAAUUGGGAAGUGUUCCUUCCUAUUAUCUUUUCUGGAAGAGACUGAAUAAUCUGUGAAUAUUUGUUAUGUUUUUCCAGUAAACCAUCUGAGCCUGGAGAUUUCUUUUCUUGGGCAUGAGUUUCUUAAUAGUAUUGAGCCCUGUAGAUAGCCAUUCAAAGUAUCUAUUUUAUAUUGGGUGAGUUAGAGUAUUGUAGUUUUUGAGACAUUGGUUCGUUUCAUCUAAGUUGUCAAAUGUAUGCAUGUGGAGUUGUUUCUAAUAUUCUCUUUUUAUCCUUUUGAAAAACAAGGCAACCUGAGAUUAACAAUCUACUGCAUAAAUACACAAUUCUCUGAUCAUUUUCCCAAGAUAAAUUCCCAAUAAUUAAAUAAUUGGGUAAAAAUCUUUUGAUACAUAUUGAAAAAUUGUCCUCCAGAAAGAGUGCAUCAAUUUAUACUUUUACCACUAAUAAUAAGAGAGUUCAUUUUAAUUCAGCCUGGUAAACACAAGAUAGCAUUGUCUUUUCAACUUUGUCAAUUUGACAGGUGGACAAAAUGACAUCUCUUUUGUUUUAACUUCUAUUUUUUAUGAGUCAGGUAAAACCUUUUAUAUGUUUAUUUUGACCAUUUUUAUUUUGUAAGUUGUCUCUUUCAUGUCUUGCUUAUUUUUCUAUCAGGAUAUUCAACUUCUUGUUUAUUUUAAUAGCUCUUUAUAUAUAAAGGAUAUUAAUGUCUUGUAUAUGUCACAAAUAUUUUCCUCGAUUGUCAUUGCCUUCUUAUUUAUGGUGCCUGUUUUUGCAGUGCAGUUUUAAAAUUAAAAUUAUUCAUGACAUUCCAUAUGUUUUCUUCUCUUGUCUUUAUGUUUAGACUGAAUUUCUCCUACAUCAAGACAGGGUGACACAAAUAUUCUUGUCUUUUCUUUCUGGUUUUAUUCCCCACCUCUCUACCAAACUCAUCAACUCAUCUGUAAUUUAUUUCUAUGCAUGGAAAAAAAAGAAUGGUUCAGUUUUUGUAUUUGUCUAACACGGUCCUGAGAUUUCAAAAACCCAGUUUAUAUCAGCAAUCUUCAUUGCCAUGACACCUUUCUCAGUAAAUUUUAUAGUAGUUUGCAAAUGAUUUAGUGCGUCUUUUUAUUUUUUUCUACACCAAUAAAUAUCUGAGCCCAUCAGAUAAGUGGUGCUUCCUACCACUACUUUUUGGUAAAAUUAAUGAAAAUUGCAAGAGCUCCAUGUAUUUGGUGGUAGAAAUUAUGAAAUGUGGACUUUUUUCCUUUUUGUUGAGGUAUAAAGCAUAUAGCAGAGCAUACAAAUCUUAAUGGUACAUCUUGAUAAAUUUUUACAAAUAUAUAAUAUACACUUAUGUGUAUUUAUAGAAUAUUUUACAUAACAUCCAGAUCCAUUUAUAUAACAUUUCCAGCAACCUAGUGGACUUUAAGCCUAGUGAAGCCAGGCCUAGUAGUCUCUUCCAGUCACUAUCACCUCCUGCCAAAGGUAACCUCUAUUCUCACCUUUAUCACCAAAUCUAACUUUAUCUGGUUUGGAACAUCAUCUAAAUGAAAUGACACUGCAUAUGUUCUUUUGUAUGGCUUAUGAUUUUCAAGUUUAUUUCUUUGCAAUUUUACCUAUGUUGUUAUACAUAGCAGUUUGUUCUUUUUCAUUGCUAUGUAGUUUUCUGUUGUAUGACUAUAUCACAAUUUAUUUCUCCAUUCUCAUGUUGAUAUGCAUUUGGAUUUUUCUGGUUUGGGGCUACUAUGACUAAUUUCUCCAUCUUUGGGCAGACACAGAAUUCCUUUCUUCUGUGUGGGUCCCAGGAGUGAAAUUGCUUGGCCAUAGUGUGUAAAUAUCUGUUUAGCAUUAGUAGGUCCUAUCAAAUGUUUUCCAAAGUAGUUAUACUAUUUGAUAGUCCCACCAAUGAGGUAUAAGAAUUCCAGUUUCUUUGCCAACACUUGGUAUGCUUAGUCUUUUUAGAUUUAGCCACUCUGGAAGAGGAGAAUGGUGUCUCACUGUGGUUUUAAUUUCCAUCUUCCUAACGUAACUGGGCAGCUUAACUUCAUAAUAUAUUUUAAAACAUUUUUCCCUUCUCUUGGGUUUCAAGAUAUAACCUUGAAGCAAACUGCAGAAGUCUUUUCUCUUAGCUAUAAAAUAGCUCCCUUUCUCACCAUAUAUACUCCCUGCACAUUUAGCUAACUGCAUGCUAGUAUCUAUUAUGUGCCUUCUUAGAAGUUCCAGGAGGUAAUCUUGAGACGGACAGACCAAGCAUGGAGACCUAGCUGCAAAAUUCCAGAGAUUACUUCCAUGCAGCUAAUUAACAACUCGGCCACUGUUGAGAUGAUGUCAGCCUGAGGUCCAGGUGGACUGGCACCAAAGAUAAUCAUAAAAACAAGACCCAGAGAUACUGUACUCAGCACAAUUCUCUUGCAUGCCCUCCUUAAUCAAGUUUUCCUCUUUUAAACCCCUCCCUUCCCCCGAAAUAGUCAAAGUGGUUGCUUUGAUGGGAAUCUGGCCACUUCCCCUUUACUAGUUGUGGUUAAUAAAGUCACUUUCUAUCUACCAGGCCUCACUCUUGUUAACUGGACUCUGCAGGCAGUGAGCAUGUGGACCUGCAUUCAGUUACAAUUUUAGUGGCCCAUACAGUGUGCUCUGGGGGCCCAAGCCCAUGGUCUGGUUUCUAUUGGACAGGGCCUGUGGGGCUGCCUGUAGGCUCCAGUUGCUUGUGGCUACCUGACCCCUUGGCUGGAAUGCUAGGGAGUCUCCUGCAGCUGCCUAGAUGCUUUUGUCUUGGGGAUCCUCUCUUUCUCUUCCUGCUGCAGUGCCUGCUACCUCCAAUAUUUCACUGGUGCACUGAAAGUGACUUUUAGAGAAGUGACAAACUUUGGAAUUUUGGAACUUUGAAACUUCGGAACUUGGUGAGUUAGUCGGAGUGCAUUUGACCACCAUCUGCCUCUUUUGGGAUGUCACUGGGACUCUGCUCUAUUUAGACUUGGCCACUAGUGACACCAUUUGAGCAUUUUAUGCAUUUGUAUUUGUUUGUAUUUGUGGCACCCUUGGGGCCUUGCUGGGUUCAGGCUGUUCCAGGGCUGGGGUUGGGGGGGCAUUGGAAACUGAGGUGAGGGAUUUGGGACUCUACUCAGCCCUCCCUCCCCCCACUUCUUCCAAGUCAUCCUCCUGAUAAUCUUGGGGCACCCACAGCCUUAUUCCUCUUGGCCAAAAGCACCCACAGCUCCCUCUGGCUAGAAACAUUUCACCUUGACUGGUGACUUGCAAAGGUGGGAAGGGUUCAUCCCACACCAUGUAGGUCUGGGGCACUGAGGCUCUCCCUGACAGGAGAUACACCCGGGUGGUGAGGGUACUGACCCCAAGCCUUGCAGUGGCUGAAAGGCUCACAAGCCUCCCCUCCUUCCUUUCUCUUUCCUCUUCCUUCCUGUAAAACUUGACCUUUGUCCUCUACAUCUCUUUCUUUUCUUUUUCUCAUUUCCUGUCCAAUCCAGGGGUUCAGCCUUGAAGGAGAAAAACAGUUUCCAACAUCAUGGCCUCUGAUUUUGUCAUCUUCUCUGGGACUGGUUACAUAUUCUGGCCCAUUUUUGUGCACAUUUUAAACUGAUGGGCAAAUUACAACAAGAAAAAUUCAGAGUUCAAAUGGUUAACCUACACUGUGGAGUUAAGUAGAAUCUUCUUUAGCUCUCUACCUUCCUCUCUUUUCUGCCUGCUUUAAAUCUGCUGUUAUUAAACUGCUGGCGCGAGACAAGACUCAUUAUUUAUGGUCUAAAUUGAAUAUAAACAUUGAAAACUCAUUUGAAACUGAACAGCAAAAAGGGGAAAAGAUUUAAAAAGAAAAAAACCCAAACUGCCAUAGAGACUGCUUUACCCCAAAUUUUGGCUGCCAGCUUUCCUUGGAUUACCUAUCAGGGCAAACAAAGUUAGCCACGUGGACAGCUUCCAGUUUUGUCAGAAAAACAACUUGAAGCCAGCUUUUAUAGGUCAGUGAGUUUGUGAUGCUAUCUCAUGAUUAGAGUUCUCAGAUAAAAGCUCUUAGACCUUUGUUUGUGUAUGGAUGUAUACAUGUUUAGAUAUGUUUAUGUAAUGUACAUGUUAUAGUUAUGUUCUGUCGUGUCUAGCAUGCUACCAAAUUGGCUUUAUAAGUAAGUGAGUACACAUAAAUUAAGUUCAAAUGCUUUCCAAGUUCGCAUGAAUCUUUGAUAAAUAAAACUGGCUUCAAAAAUUAUUAGUAAAAUAAAAACAAAAAUGCCUUCAGAAUCAUCAGCAUACAUUUGUGUCUAAGCAAAUAAAUUUUGUAUUUGUCUCUGCUAAAUGUUUAAAGUGUCAGGGUUUGGCGCAAAGAUUGUAAGAUUAUAACCCAGCCAAACACAGAGUAAUCUUUGUGUAAUUUUUUUGACAAAUAAGACUAAGUUAGGAUUGUUAGUUCAAUGAAAGCAACUGAAUCCUCUGAGCUAUUGGCAAAAUGACCAUGGAUUUAACUUUGAGGUUCUUACUUAGGUGUUCACCUAAUGUUCGGACUUUUAAAAUGGUUAACAGGGAAAUAACUUUAAAUAAUGACUAACUUUGUAUAAUAUCUGUUUUCAGAAAGAAUCUAGAUAAACUUAAAGAUUAAAAAAUUAAAUACACAUAAAUGAAAUAUGUUUUUUAAGUGAAUUUUUUCUGUAAUUUAAAAUCUUAAAAUUAUUUUAAAUUAAAUAAUAAAUGCUUAUUGGAUGUCUGGUUUACUUCUAAUUUUUUAAAAAUUAUAAUAAAUUAUGG
rnacentral:lncRNA from 10 species